UGGUUCAGGGUCCUCUAUCCCCAA
rnacentral:tRNA from 1 species